GGCGCGUUAGCUCAGUUGGUUAGAGCGUCGUGCUAAUAACGCGAAGGUCGUGGGUUCGAUCCCCCCACGGGCCA
rnacentral:tRNA from 1 species